UUUGCAUAUUCAAAAAGCGGAGGAAAAGAAACCAACAGGGAUUGCCUCAGUAACGGCGAGUGAAGCGGCAACAGCUCAAAUUUGAAAUCUGGCCUCUUGGGGUCCGAGUUGUAAUUUGUAGAGGAUGUUUCGGGUACCGCCUCGGUUUAAAUUUCUUGGAACAGAAUGUCAAAGAGGGUGAGAAUCCCGUCUUGGACCGGCGGUAGGGCCUAUGUGAAACUCCUUCGACGAGUCGAGUUGUUUGGGAAUGCAGCUCAAAAUGGGUGGUAAAUUUCAUCUAAAGCUAAAUAUUGGCCAGAGACCGAUAGCGCACAAGUAGAGUGAUCGAAAGAUGAAAAGCACUUUGAAAAGAGAGUUAAACAGUAUGUGAAAUUGUUGAAAGGGAAGCGCUUGCAACCAGACUUGAGCGCGGCGGUUCCCCCUUGCUUCUGCUUGGGUUACUCCGCCGUGUCCAGGCCAACAUCGGUUCUGGGGGUCGGUCAAAGGCUCUGGGAAUGUAUCUACCCACGGGUAGACUUAUAGACCAGGGUGUCAUGCGACCUCCCGGGACCGAGGAACGCGCUUCGGCUCGGAUGUUGGCGUAAUGGUUGUCAGCGACCCGUCUUGAAACAACGGGACCAA
rnacentral:rRNA from 1 species